CACGUGAGAAUUCGCCUUUAGGAGGGGGAUAACGGAUGGAAACAUUCGCUAAAACCCCAUAUGCCCUCGGGUGAAAAAGAGAAAGUAAGUCAUACUGAUUUAUCUCUGCCUGAAGAGAAGCUCGCGGCUGAUUAGCUAGUUGGUAGGGUAAAGGCCUACCAAGGCGACGAUCAGUAGCUGGUCUGAGAGGACGAUCAGCCACACUGGAACUGAGACACGGUCCAGACUCCUACGGGAGGCAGCAGUGAGGAAUUUUCUGCAAUGGGCGAAAGCCUGACAGAGCAAUACCGCGUGGGGGAUGAAGACUUACUGAGUUGUAAACCUCGGUACCCUAAGGAAGAAGAUAUGACGGUACUUAGGGUGGAAAGCAUCGGCUAACUCCGUGCCAGCAGCCGCGGUAAGACGGGGGAUGCAAGUGUUAUCCGGAUUUACUGGGCGUAAAGCGUCUGCAGGUGGUUUCUUAAGUCUACUGUUAAAUCUUGAGGCUCAACCUCAAAUCUGCAGUAGAAACUAGGAGACUUGAGUAUAGUAGGGGUAGAGGGAAUUUCCAGUGGAGCGGUGAAAUGCGUAGAUAUUGGAAAGAACACCGAUGGCGAAGGCACUCUACUGGGCUAUUACUGACACUCAGAGACGAGAGCUAGGGGAGCAAAUGGGAUUAGAUACCCCAGUAGUCCUAGCCGUAAACGAUGGAUACUCGAUGUUGGACGUAUCGACCCGUUCAGUAUCUUAGCUAACGCGUUAAGUAUCCCGCCUGGGGAGUACGCUCGCAAGAGUGAAACUCAAAGGAAUUGACGGGGGCCCGCACAAGCGUUGGAGGAUGUGGUUUAAUUAGAUGCAACGAGAAGAACCUUACCAGGGUUUUCUAGAAGUGUUGAUUUUCUGAAAGAGGAUUCCUUAUUCCGCUUAUACAGGUGGUGCAUGGCUGUCGUCAGACUCGUGUCGUGAGAUGUUGGGUUAAGUCCCGCAACGAGCGCAACCCUUAUUUUUAGUUGUAUUGUCUAAAAAGACUGCCGGUGACAAACCGGAGGAAGGGGAGGAUGACGUCAAGUCAUCAUGCCCCUUACACCCUGGGCUACACACGUCCUACAAUGGGUAAGACAAUAAGUUGCAAAUUCGCGAGGAUAAGCUAAUCUUUGAAACUUACUCCAAGUACAGAUUG
rnacentral:rRNA from 1 species